rnacentral:misc_RNA from 1 species
UUACGAGCAGCAGUGGAAUUUCGGACAAUGGGGGAAACCCUGAUCCAGCCAUCCCGCGUGCGAUGAAGGCCUUCGGGUUGUAAAGCACUUUUGGCAGGGAGGCAAAACGGCACGGGAUAAUACCUCGCAACCGACGGCAGGCUCCAGAAUAAGCACCGCUAACCACGCCAGCAGCUGCGGUAAUAGUCGUAGGGUGCAAGCGUUAAUCGAAUUACUGGGCGGAAGCGUGCGCAGGCGGUUCGGAAAGAGAUGUGAAAUCCCAGAGCUUAACUUUUGGAAAUCCGCAUUUUUAACUACCGAGCCGAGGUUGAGGGAGGUGGAAUCUGCGUGUAGCAGUGAAAUGCGUAGAUAUGCGGAGUGAACACCGAUGGCGUGAAGGCAGCCUCCUUGAUAACACUGACGCUCAUGCACGAAAGCGUGGAGCAAACAGGAUUAGAUACCCCAGGUUCUACGCCUUAAACGAUGUCAACUAGCUGUUAGCCUGGCCUGGUAGCGCAGCUAACGCGUGAAGUUGACCGCCUGGGGAGUACGGUCGCAAGAUUAAACUCAAAGGAAUUUGACGGGGACUCCGCAUGCCGUGGAUGAUGCGGAUUAAUUCGAUGCAACGCGAAAAACCUUACCUUACCUUGACAUGUCUGGAAUCCCGAAGAGAUUUGGGAGUGCUCGCAAGAGAACCGGAACACAGGUGCUGCAUGGCUGUCGUCAGCUCGUGUCGAGAUGUUGGGUUAAGUCCCGCAACGAGCGCAACCUUGUCAUUAGUUGCUACGAAAGGGCACUCUAAUGAGACUGCCGGUGACAAACUGAGGAAGGUGGGGAUGACGUCAAGUCCCUGCGGCCUUAUGGGUAGGCUUCACAUUGUCAUACAAUGGUCGGACAGAGGUCGCCAACCCGCGAGGGGGAGCCAAUCCCAGAAACCCGAUCGUAGUCCGGAUCGCAGUCUGCAACUCGACCGGUGCGGAAGUCGGAAUCGCUAGUAAUCGCGGAUCAGCAUGUGAAUACGUUCCCGGUCUGUACACACUACCCGUCACACCAUGGGGAGUGGGUUUUACCAGAAGGGAAGCUAGCCGAACGCAGGAGGGCGAUUAAUACGGUAGGAUUCAUGACUGGGGUGCUCGCACAAUAGCCCUCACAUACCUACGC